rnacentral:lncRNA from 1 species
AUGUCAGCUUCCUCAGGCUGUUUCUGGCAGAGGAAGUCCCUUCCUUGUGGGCGUGGACUAGACCAGUCUGCUGUGACCCGGUGGCUGCUGGACUGGCUGAGAAGCAGAGGCUUCAUGUAUCUGCACAGUCCCACAUUAUCUGGCAUGGCUGGCCUGACACCCACCUGCGAUGAAGUUAUAAAGAACUCACAACUUCUUAAGAGAGGGUAUAGCCAUAUUAUGCCUCCAGACCUACUCCCAGGGCUGCAAGAAAACCUGCCCAAUAAUUCUCUUUGACCUAUAUACAUAAAGAGCAUGAUCAGAUGAGAUGGCCAAGCUUGAAUGUCUUUAAAAGAAAGUUGCUGGGACCUGUGUUGAAGUUACCCAUCUCUACCUCUGACAGAAUGAGAUGAUUAUGGAGAGGCCUGUGUGGAGAGCAAACCUGUGUUCCCUAGAGCACAGCAGAGGGAAUAGAAAGGUCUAAAGAUGAGGAGUUGGCAGAUGAUACCUGGGAAAGCAAAGCCAAGAGAGAGGCCUGUAUGGAGUGGCCUCAGUUCAAGAGAUUGGAAGUGGUGCCGGGGAUUUAACUCAGUGGUUCUGUUGCCUUCUUCACAAGUGCAAGGUCCCAAGUUUGAUCCCUGGUACCCCAAAAACAAAGCAAAACAAACAAACAAAAAGAGAUUGGAGGUGGGAAGGAGAAGAGAUGGAACAGAAUAGAGGAUACAGAAUCAAAACCAAACACAUUAAGCCAUCUAAUCUUUGACAAAUGAAACAAAAUGUAUUUGCAAGUGGAAAGAUAGCAACUGUAGCAAAUGGUACUGAGAAAACUGAUUAUACUCAUGCAGAAGAUUGAAGCUAAAGCCAUUUCUCUCACCAUAACCUAAACUAAAAUGAAAAUAGAUCAAAGAUCUAAAUAUUAAAACAAACAUUUAACCCGCUGGAAGAUAAAAUAGUUAAAAUUCUUGAAGUCAUAGAAUAGGCAAGGACUUUCUGAGCAGAAUCUCAAUUGCACAAGAAGGAACAUCAAGAAUCAACAAAUGGGAUUACAUCAAAUUAAAAAUCUUCUGUAUAGAAAAAGAAACAACUAACAGAGUGAAGAGACAAUGUGCAGUAUUGGAGAAAAUUUUUACAAACUAAACUUCUGAUAGAAUUAAAAUCUAGACUAUGUAAGAAAUUCAAAAAAUUAAACUUCCCAAAGUAAAAGACACAAUCAAA